rnacentral:lncRNA from 1 species
GCCUUCGGCCGCCCACGUGGUCCUACUCAGGCGCCGUACUGCAUUCUCCAGUCCACUGUCCAUUCUCCAUCAGUCCGUCGUUGUCCGUCUCCAUUCUCUCGAUCUCUUCUCUAGAGACUUCUUCCCUGGACGCUGGUUCUCUUCCCCUGUUCCACUUACCAUCCGAUCUUUCAUCCUUGAGGGUUUUGAGGUUCUUCGGUUCUUCCAUCCACCGAUCACUAUAGGUACUCCAUGAGUCUGUCCAUCUCUAUUCUCUUCUCUAGCAACUUCUUCUCUGGUUCUCCGCCACAUUCCAUCUAGUCUUUGAGGGUUUUGAGGUUCUUCAGUUCUUCCAUCCACCGACCCCCGUUCCUUAGGGUUUCCAGGUUUUCUUCUAUUGACUAAACUACUAGCCUACCCAUUCACACCUUUGCCGCUUCCAUCAACUGAUCAACCAACUCCGAGCGGUGAGAGCCUGAAAUCUUGCUGCAUGGGAAAGAUUGACCUCUAAGGCUCUAAAUCCCUCUAGAUCGACAGACUCCGAGCUUCUUUCCUCAACGAUCUAGUCUUCCUCAAACCCUAACUCCCUCAAAAGUUAAAACCUCCAUCAGCUUCUUCAAGAUACCUCAUCUCAAAGACUAAAACCCUUUCUAUUCCGAUUUCUCUCCUCUGUCUCUUGAUUUUCCAUCCUUUCAGCAAGAACUAGAGAAUCUCCAAGGAAGAGAAGAAGAAGAUGCACG